rnacentral:rRNA from 1 species
CCUACGGGAGGCAGCAGUGAGGAAUAUUGGUCAAUGGGCGCGAGCCUGAACCAGCCAAGUAGCGUGAAGGAUGACUGCCCUACGGGUUGUAAACUUCUUUUAUAAAGGAAUAAAGUGAGGCACGUGUGCCUUUUUGUAUGUACUUUAGGAAUAAGGAUCGGCUAACUCCGUGCCAGAAGCAGCGGUAAUACGGAGGAUCCGAGCGUUACCCGGAUUUAUUGGGUUUAAAGGGAGCGUAGAUGGGUUGUGAAGUAAGUUGUGAAAGUUUGCGGCUCAACCGUAAAAUUGCAAUUGAUACUGGCAGCCUUGAGUACAUUUGCGGUAGGCGGAAUUCGUGGUGUAGCGGUGAAAUGCUUAGAUAUCACGAAGAACUCCGAUUGCGAAGGCAGCUUACUAAACUGCCACUGACAUUGAUGCUCGAAAGUGUGGGUAUCAAACAGGAUUAGAUACCCCAGUAGUC